rnacentral:rRNA from 1 species
AUUGUCCUACGGGAGGCAGCAGCGGGGAAUAUUGCACAAUGGGGGAAACCCUGAUGCAGCAACGCCGCGUGAGUGAGGAAGUAUUUCGGUAUGUAAAGCUCUAUCAGCAGGGAAUAAAAAAGAAGGUACCUGAAAAAGAAGCCCCGGCUAACUACGUGCCAGCAGCCGCGGUAAUACGUAGGGGGCAAGCGUUAUCCGGAUUUACUGGGUGUAAAGGGAGCGUGGACGGAAAGGCAAGUCAGAAGUGAAAGCCCAAGGCUCAACCAUGGGACUGCUUUUGAAACUGUCAAACUAGAGUACGGGAG